rnacentral:tRNA from 118 species
UUGUUGUUAGCUCAGGUAGUUCCAGGAACAUCUAAGCCGUGGGUCGCAGGUUCGAAUCCUGCACGGCGCGCCA